rnacentral:lncRNA from 1 species
AAUCGUCAAACACACUCCACAGCAUAUCUUAAGCCUCUUGCGCUUGUAAAAUUGCCCCUUCUGUGGCGCCUUUGCUCCGAUUGGCUCAGGACUCAUCGCCAUCUUGUGAAAUCCUUGCUUCGCUCCCAUUGGCACUACAAUUGCUGUACUCUCUUCUCCUCUCACAAGCUUAACCUCGCACUUGAACCUCCUUACAAGCUUUCCGAUUGUUACGUGCAGUGUUUUCCAAGUACAAUGCACUAAAUGUGUGACAUCUUACCUGCAGAUGUAACCCUGUAAAACAUCAGAGGACAAACCCAACCGAUGAGAGCAACCAUGGAACGUGCGACACGAACGACCCCACCUCAAUUGUAAGAACCGUGUGAUGCAGGGAAAUCGAGCCGGCCAAGUUCUCACUAGUGCUUAACAAC